rnacentral:tmRNA from 1 species
GGGGAUGUAAAGGUUUCGACGGGGGUGUGGAAGCGGGAUAAGCGAGCCGUAGUUUGCUCAGUCUACGUUAAAAAGGGCACGUUAAAGAUAAACGCGAAAACUAACAA